UUUUUUUUUUUUUUUUUUUUUUUGAGACAGUCUUGCUCUGUCGCCCAGGCUGGGGUGCAGUGGCCGGAUCUCAGCUCACUGCAAGCUCCGCCUCCCGGGUUUAGACCAUUCUCCUGCCUCAGCCUCCCGAGUAGCUGGGACUACAGGCUCGCCACCUCUCGGCUAGUUUUUUUGUAUUUUUUAGUAGAGACGGGGUUUCACCGUGUUAGCCAGGAUGGUCUCGAUCUCCUGACCUCGUGAUCCGCCCGUCUCGGCCUCCCAAAGUGCUGGGAUUACAGGCUUGAGCCACCGCGCCCGGCCUCACAUGAGAGUCUUAUGACCUGCUUCAGGAAAACGUCAGAAAAUACUUUCUUUUUUUAAAAAAUGUAAAAAAUGUUUAGGCCAGUCGUGGUUACUCACACCUGUACUCGCAGCACUUUGGGAGGCUGAGGCAGGCAGAUAGAUCACUUGAGCUCAGACGUUUGAGACCAGCUUGGGAAACAUGGCAAAACCCCAUGUUUUAUUUUUUGUCUCUAUAAAAAAUAAAAAAAUUAGCCCAGCAUGGUGGCACAUGCUGGUAGUCCCAGCUACUUGGGAGGCUGAGGUAGGAGGAUUGCCUGAGUCUGGGAGGGUGGAGAUUGCAGUGAGCUGAGAUUGUGCCACUGCACUCCAGCCUGAGUGACACAGCAAGACUAAAUAAAACAAAACAAACAAAAAAAGGUGGCUAGAGAGACAGGGUCUCACUGUGUUGCCCAGGCUGGUCUCAAACUCCUGGCCUCAAGCAAUCUUCCUGCCUAGGCCUCCCAAAGUACUGGGAUUACAGGCAUGAGCCAUCACACCUGGCCUGGACAAUUAUUUUUAAAUUAUUUGUCAGCAUUUAAAAAACUGAGGGCCACCACAUAGAAAUCCAGCACUCUCCCUUUCCUGGAAAAAAAUCGAAUCAUCCAGAUAUCCCAGGCUUGUACGUCUUCUAGGGCUCAGCAGCAGCAGCCCCCUUUAGAUGGUAGAGAGUAAGUUGCCCCCGUCCUCACCACCCCCAACUGCCUUACAUACACCACAGCCUGGUGUCAGUUACCCUUUAGUGUUACCUCGGGCUAUUGCCAGAUUUUACUGUAGUUGGGAGGAAAGAGUUUUUUGUUUUUUGUUUUUUUGUUUUUGAAGAGUCUUGCUCUGUUGCUCAGGCUGGAGUGCACUGGUUGGA
rnacentral:lncRNA from 1 species